rnacentral:rRNA from 1 species
AGAAUGAACACUAGCGAUAUGCUUAACACAUGCAAGUUGAACGUUGUUUUCGAAUCAGAAUGAGAACAAAGUAGCGAACGGGUGCGUAACACGUGGGAAUCUGCCGAACAGUUUGGGCCAAAUCCCGAAUGAAUAAAAGCUAAAAAGCGCUGUUUGAUGAGCCCACGUAGUAUUAGGUAGUUGGUUAGGUAAAAGCUGACCAAGCCUACGAUGCUUAGCUGGUCUUUUCGGAUGAUCAGCCACACUGGGACUGAGACACGGCCCAGACUCCUACGGGAGGCAGCAGUGGGGGAAUCUUGGACAAUGGGCGAAAGCCUGAUCCGGCAAUAUGGCGUGAGUGAAGAAGGGCAACGCAGCUUGUAAAGCUCUUUCAUCGAGUGUGCGAUUGUGACAAGACUCGAAUAAGAAGCCCCGGCUAACUCCGUGCCAGCAGCCGC